rnacentral:rRNA from 1 species
ACCAGUCCUAGCCCACACAACAUCAAUUAUAUAUAACAAUAUAACACAUAAUUUAAAUAAAACAUUCACCUCCAAAAAAGUAUAGGAGAUAGAAAUUUUUAACUGGAGCUAUAGCGCUAGUACCGCAAGGGAAAGAUGAAAGAACAAACUUACAGUAAAACAAAGCAAAGAUUAAUCCUCCUACCUUUUGCAUAAUGAAUUAACUAGAAAUAACUUCACAAAAAGAAUUUAAGCCAAGAACCCCGAAACCAGACGAGCUACUUAUGGGCAGCUAACAGAGCCAAUCCAUCUAUGUAGCAAAAUAGUGGAACGACCUAUAAGUAGAGGUGAAAAGCCUACCGAGCCUGGUGAUAGCUGGUUAUCCAGACAAGAAUUUUAGUUCAACUUUAAAUUUACUAUAAGAACCCAUAAUCCAAACGUAAAUUUAACUGUUAAUCUAAAGAGGGACAGCUCUUUAGAUAGAGGAAAAAACCUUAAUUAGAGAGUAAGCCAAAUAACUUCCAUAGUUGGCCUAAAAGCAGCCAUCAAUUAAAAAAGCGUUCAAGCUUAACCUAANAAAAUUAACUUAAUAUCAAUAUUUAUAAUCACCUCCUAAUAUCACACUGGAUUAAUCUAUAAUUAAUUAUAGAAGCAAUAAUGUUAAUAUAAGUAAUAAGNAAAACCUUCUCCCUGCAUAAGUUUAUAUCAGUCCGAAUAAAUCACUGAUAGUUAACAUAAAUUAUAGUUUAAUCCAACAACCUAAACCACUAUUACCCAUAAUGUUAACCCAACACCGGUAUGCACUCUUAUUUAAGGGAAAGAUUAAAAAAAGUAAAAGGAACUCGGCAAACACCAACCCCGCCUGUUUACCAAAAACAUCACCUCUAGCAUUAACAGUAUUAGAGGCACUGCCUGCCCAGUGACAUAUGUUAAACGGCCGCGGUAUCCUGACCGUGCAAAGGUAGCAUAAUCAUUUGUUCCUUAAAUAGGGACUUGCAUGAAUGGCCAAACGAGGGUUUAUCUGUCUCUUACUUUCAAUCAGUGAAAUUGACCUUCCCGUGAAGAGGCGGGAAUAAACAAAUAAGACGAGAAGACCCUAUGGAGCUUAAAUUUACUAAUCCAAGUAANNNUCUUCAUAUAAUUCUAUAAGAAACAUAUCCACUACCUAUGGAUUAAAAAUUUUGGUUGGGGUGACCUCGGAGUAUAACCUAACCUCCGAAUGAUCUUAGUCUAGACCUAAACCCGUCUAAACUCAAGUUCAUAAAUUGACCCAAACUACUUGAUCAACGGAACAAGUUACCCUAGGGAUAACAGCGCAAUCCUACCCAAGAGUCCAUAUCGACAGUAGGGUUUACGACCUCGAUGUUGGAUCAGGACAUCCAAAUGGUGCAACCGCUAUUAAUGGUUCGUUUGUUCAACGAUUAAAGUCCUACGUGAUCUGAGUUCAGACCGGAGAAAUCCAGGUCGGUUUCUAUCUAUUAAAAAUUUCUCCCAGUACGAAAGGACAAGAGAAAUAGGGCCAAUCUCCACAAUACGCCCUAUAAAUAAUAGAUGAAAUAAUCUUAACCUAUUCUACUAUUUAUUUACUCCACCCUAGACCAGGGUUA